CUGUACUAGUGAAUGAAAAAUUACAUACAUUAUCGGAAAAAUUUGUUAUUCAGAAUGUGCCAUUCAACUUCUACACAUCUUCGGAAAUGCUACAAAAGAUACUCGAAAAGCCGCUUGAGAAAAAAGCAGGAAGAAAUUUCGGACCACCUGGAACUAAAACCAUGAUAUAUUUCAUAGAUGACAUGAACAUGCCAGAAGUGGACACUUAUGGAACUGUUCAACCGCACAC